AAACAAGAGUUGUCCGUUAGGAACGAGAAACUACUGGCAGAAGGGAGAGAGAGAGAGUCAAACACUCAAACUUUGAGGAAAUCUCAGGGGCCUAAUGCAAUUAAUCUUCCAUUUAGCAAGAUCUUGAGUCUUCCUCCUCUUGGCUUCCUAAUCUCUGGCGCCCCAAGAUCUCCAGGAUGCAACCGAUGGCCUCCUCCCCCCAUCUCAAGAACCCUCGCUCGUCGGCCACGGCGGCGAGGGACUGGGCUUCGCUGCCCCCGGACAUCCUCAUCUCCGUCUUCCUCAUGCUGGGGCCCGCCGAGAUCAUGCGGGGCGCGGAGCGCGCCUGCGCCGCCUGACGGCGCGUCGCGUCGACGAUCCGGCGCUGUGGCGGCGCAUCGACAUGGGCACGGGGGUCUUGCCGUUUUCCUCUGGCGGACGGGCGGCGGUGCACGCCGCCAUGGAUCGCGCCGCCGGGGAGUGCGAAACCUUCUAGGGGCCCUGCGACAAUCACUUGCUCUUCUACCUGGUUCGAAGAGCACCCUCCUUGAAAGUCCUGCAUGUGAAACAUCUGUAUGCGGAGAACAGAGUACUGAACCUGGUGCUCAACAGGCUACCUCUCCUUGAGGAUCUUGAAAUUUCCCCUUCAUUUGUCAGUACUCCCUCUGAGAAUUUACUUCAAUCCGUUUGCCAACAUUGUCCUCAUCUCAGGAAACUCAGACUCAACUGCAGUGAGUCCUUUGACUUCCAUAAUGGCAAUGGCGUGGCCUUGGAGAUAAUCCAUGGAAAAAUCACACCGAUGCAUGACUUACGCUCCGUAGAAUUGUUUCACUGUGACCUGACUACCCAGGGGCUGAGAGCAAUCCUUGACAGUUGCCCUCUGUUGGAAACUCUCCACAUUACUGGAUUUCUAGUGGGUGGCAAGAUGGGUGACAAGCUACGGCAGAAAUGUGCUAGAGUGAAGGAUCUGACUCUUCCUGAUAAAUCGGUGAAAUUUGACAGGAUUCAUCAUCAUGGUUAUGUCAAAAGACGAGUUCUGGGCCCUUGGAGAUGGACGACUGAUCCUUCGCACGAUUAGACAUGUACAUGGCAAUGUUUGACUAUGGAUUUCCCCUUGAGUGACUUUUGAUUUGUAAUGUAAUGUUCCAAGUACUUUGUAGUCAUCCUGUUUGCAGUGAUGGUGUUUGAAUCUCUAUGUAAUAGGAUUAACUGUUAUUAGGAACCACUCUUUUUAGUGAGGCCCUUUUGCGUUGUGGGAACAUUAUUUUUGGGGUCAGCGUUUAGCAUGCAUUUUGUAGAAUUUUCAUGCCAUAUUCUAGUUUGUAAAAAAAAUAAAAUAAGUAUGACCGUUAGAAAUUGUAGUUUACGGAUUUCAUAGUGUUCCCAAGGGUCAACUCAACUAUAUAUAUAGUUUAUGGAUUUUGCA